rnacentral:rRNA from 1 species
UACGGGGGGGGCAAGCGUUGUUCGGAAUUACUGGGCGUAAAGGGGACGUAGGCGGCCAACUAAGUCCGACGUGAAAUCCCAAGGCUUAACCUUGGAACUGCGUCGGAUACUGGAUAGCUUGAAUUCGGGAGAGGGAUGCAGAAUUCCAGGUGUAGCGGUGAAAUGCGUAGAUAUCUGGAGGAAUACCGGUGGCGAAGGCGGCAUCCUGGACCGACAUUGACGCUGAAAGCCGAAAGCUAGGGGAGCAAACGGG